rnacentral:rRNA from 1 species
UACGUAGGGUGCGAGCGUUGUCCGGAAUUACUGGGCGUAAAGGGCGCGUAGGCGGUCAGCACAAGUCAGUUGUGAAAUCUCCGGGCUUAACUCGGAAAGGUCAACUGAUACUGUGCGACUAGAGUGCAGAAGGGGCAACUGGAAUUCUCGGUGUAGCGGUGAAAUGCGUAGAUAUCGAGAGGAACACCUGCGGCGAAGGCGGGUUGCUGGGCUGACACUGACGCUGAUGCGCGAAAGCCAGGGGAGCGAACGGG